UGAGGAAUAUUGGUCAAUGGGCGAGAGCCUGAACCAGUCAAGUAGCGUGCAGGAUGACGGCCCUAUGGGUUGUAAACUGCUUUUAUAUGGGAAUAAAGUGAGGGACGUGUCCCUUAUUGCAUGUACCAUACGAAUAAGGACCGGCUAAUUCCGUGCCAGCAGCCGCGGUAAUACGGAAGGUCCAGGCGUUAUCCGGAUUUAUUGGGUUUAAAGGGAGCGUAGGCUGUUUGUUAAGCGUGUUGUGAAAUGUAAGAGCUCAACUUUUAGAUUGCAGCGCGAACUGGCAGACUUGAGUGCGCACAACGUAGGCGGAAUUCAUGGUGUAGCGGUGAAAUGCUUAGAUAUCAUGACGAACUCCGAUUGCGAAGGCAGCUUACGGGAGCGCAACUGACGCUAAAGCUCGAAGGUGCGGGUAUCGAACAGG
rnacentral:rRNA from 1 species